GAUGAACGCUGGCGGCGUGCUUAACACAUGCAAGUCGAACGGAAAGGCUCCUGCUUGCAGGGGUACUCGAGUGGCGAACGGGUGAGUAACACGUGGGUGAUCUGCCCUGCACUUCGGGAUAAGCCUGGGAAACUGGGUCUAAUACCGGAUAGGACGAUGGUUUGGAUGCCAUUGUGGAAAGUUUUUUCGGUGUGGGAUGAGCUCGCGGCCUAUCAGCUUGUUGGUGGGGUAAUGGCCUACCAAGGCGUCGACGGGUAGCCGGCCUGAGAGGGUGGACGGCCACAUUGGGACUGAGAUACGGCCCAGACUCCUACGGGAGGCAGCAGUGGGGAAUAUUGCCCAAUGGGCGCAAGCCUGAUGCAGCGACGCCGCGUGGGGGAUGACGGCCUUCGGGUUGUAAACUCCUUUCGCUAGGGACGAAGCGCAAGUGACGGUACCUGGAGAAGAAGCACCGGCUAACUACGUG
rnacentral:rRNA from 1 species